GCAACCUUCGAAGGAAGUGGUAGUGCGCGACGUGUUUAAGAAUAAUUAUAAAAAGAGUUUUUCCUAGGUCAGUGAAGACCUAAUAAAGUCUAGUGGAAGUGUUUUAAAACAAACACAUACGAAAAAAGGUCCGAUAGAGGGCCUUUUUUCUUUUGUUCCUUUGGAACAGGUUCCAACGCUUCCGCCAAAGACUUCGGAGGUCACUACGGUGGCCCAGCCAGUGCACUACCUCAAGCCAGCUUCCCUCAGUCGAGAGGUGCGAUCGGAAGAAGAAGCCGGGGAAAGGAGCCAACUGAAGAAGAAGCCGUGGUGGUCCCGGAAAGCCGUUCCCGGGUGCAACAAAGUGCCGUAUUUCGGAGGACAUUAACGGUGUGCGGCCAUUGGGGAUAAGUACCGCGGUGAGAAGCGCCAAGAAGAUUCCUGUAGCCACGUAUCACCAUAAUUUGCACGGCCGCCAUCUUCAAUCUUCAUUGUCUCCCAAGCCCCACCGUCCCGGUGCGAAGCGCCAUUAGAAGCAUUCCACCAUCGUCGGCCAUCGAUCAUCGCCGAUCCAUCGCCAUCCAACAUCGCUGGCAUUUCUACCAUCGUCGGCCAUCGAUCA